GGCGGCUCGCUCGGGCCCUGUGGAAAGUUGUCCCUGGCUCCUGCCACCUUCCAUCUCUUCACAUCUCAGCUGGUUUUAAUUAGUUCCCUUCAAAGUCCCCCAAAGCAACGGAGCCACGUUAGCGCCCGCCAGCUGCCAAGACGCUCCAGUGUGUGUGUUUGGGGGGCGGGCGUCGGGGGCCGCAGAAGCCAGCUCGCGUUGCUGAGCCGCAGGGGCUUUGCCGCUUCUGGGCCAAGAGCACGGGGCGGAGGGCACUUCUGGCCGGGGUCCCGGGGCGGCCGGCGCUGCCCGGCAAGGACACUGCGGCCCCACGGGGGCGGAGGGGGGCGCUGGCCUGGACGCCCGAGACUCCGACCUGGCCUGCAUUUCCGGGGGGCCCCUGAACACACAGAACCCCCGGGACUCCCCGAAGCCCCUGCUCUGCUCCCACGUACGUGCAGCAAAGUCUUAUUUCUACCAGCCGUGCCGGGCACCUCAGCCACAGACCCCGGCAGGCCCCCAGCGGCCGAGUGGAAACCAGGGAGGCAGGAGCUGGGGGUGGCCGCGGGGAGUGUGGUGGCCUGUUCCUGCCCCCCUCUGGGGCGCCGAGCUGCUCGGCCCCACCCACGUGUCCUGGUGGCAUCGUGGCCCCAGCGGGGACGCCUUCUUUGGGUUUCCAACAGAGGCCUGGGGAUUCGCGUGGACUUCUGUGAAUUUAAAAACAGCUUGUGGCCAAAGCAGACACACAUACUGGGUGGAUCCGACCCGGCGCUGCCAGCUUGUAGUCCCCAUCCUGCACAGGGCUGCACCCUAAGCUUCAGGGCUUGCAUCUUCCUGCUUGGCCCCAUUUCUACCCCUGGGCCAUCCUUGCAGCUGCAGAUGGUCUUCUGUGUGGAUACCUGUUUCUUGCGGGCCCAGCACCCAUCUUCCUGUUUCUGGCAAUGGUACCUUGGCUUUGCUUUGGGGCGAACCCUCCUCUCCUCUCUAUCCAUGCACUUCCAGCAGGGUGACCCUCCUCUUCCCAUUGGACUGGACUCUGAUGCCACUAUUGUUACAUCUGGAUCCAGCCAUGCCUGA
rnacentral:lncRNA from 12 species